rnacentral:misc_RNA from 1 species
UCAAACUUGGUCAUUUAGAGGAAGUAAAAGUCGUAACAAGGUUUCCGUAGGUGAACCUGCGGAAGGAUCAUUAAUUAAUAUGUGUGCGAAAGCAUGCUAAAAACUCUUCCCACAAACCUGAAGGUCGCUUCGGCGGCUGGAAGGGGCGUGCAGAGUCCCAACCCUUUGUGAACCUAUAACCUUUUUGCUUCGGCAGCUCGCUCCUUUCGGGGGGCGGUAAGGCUGCCGACAGCCCAUUAUAAACUAUUUGUUUAAAAUCAUGAAGUCUGAUGUAUGAAAAAAUUUAACAAGUUAAAACUUUCAGCAACGGAUCUCUUGGUUCCCGCAUCGAUGAAGAACGCAGC